CCGUUCAAUGCUAAGGCUUCCCUGUCUCCACAGGUUCCAUACUUUGCACUUUAAUAACACAACCGUUCAAUGCUAAGGCUUCCCCGUCUCCACAGGUUCCAUACUUUGCACUUUAAUAACACAACCGUUCAAUGCUAAGGCUUCCCCGUCUCCACAGGUUCCAUACUUUGCACUUUAAUAACACAACCGUUCAAUGCUAAGGCGUCCCCGUCUCCGAAGGUUCCAUACUUUGCACUUUAAUAACACAACCGUUCAAUGCUAAGGCUUCCCCGUCUCCACAGGUUCCAUACUUUGCACUUUAAUAACACAACCGUUCAAUGCUAAGGCUUCCCCGUCUC